CCUACGGGUGGCUGCAGUGAGGAAUAUUGGUCAAUGGCCGAGAGGCUGAACCAGCCAAGUCGCGUGAGGGAAGACGGCCCUACGGGUUGUAAACCUCUUUUGUCGGGGAGCAAAGCGAGUCACGUGUGACUCAUUGAGAGUAUCCGAAGAAAAAGCAUCGGCAAACACCGUGCCAGCAGCCGCGGUAAUACGGAGUAUGCGAGGGUUCUCCGGAUUUAUUGGGUUUAAAGGGUGCGCAGGCGGAGGUGCAAGUCAGCGGUAAAAUUGCGGGGCUCAACCCCGUACUGCCGUUGAAACUGCAUGCCUGGAGUGCGCGAGAGGUAGGCGGAAUGCGUGGUGUAGCGGUGAAAUGCAUAGAUAUCACGAAGAACUCCGAUUGCGAAGGCAGCAUACCGGCGCGCAACUGACGCUCAUGCACGAAAGCGUGGGUAUCGAACAGGAUUAGAUACCCUAGUAGUC
rnacentral:rRNA from 1 species